rnacentral:rRNA from 1 species
UACGAAGGGGGCUAGCGUUGCUCGGAAUCACUGGGCGUAAAGGGUGCGUAGGCGGGUCUUUAAGUCAGGGGUGAAAUCCUGGAGCUCAACUCCAGAACUGCCUUUGAUACUGAAGAUCUUGAGUUCGGGAGAGGAAUGCGGAAUUCCAGGUGUAGCGGUGAAAUGCGUAGAUAUCUGGAGGAACACCGGUGGCGAAGGCGGCAUUCUGGACCGAUAUUGACGCUGAGGAGCGAAAGCCAGGGGAGCAAACGGG